rnacentral:rRNA from 1 species
GCGGAGGAAAAGAAACUAACCAGGAUUGUCUCAGUAAGGGCGACUGAAGCGACAAUAGCUCACACUGAAAAUCUGUGACCGAAUUGUGGUCGCACUUGCGCCAACAAGGUCGGGCCAAGUCCGUUGGAACGCGGCAGCUGAGAGGGUGAGACUCCCGUUUGCCUGGUCUUGGGAGCGCUUGUGGUCGAGUCGAGUUGUUUGGGAUUGCAGCUCUAAGCGGGUGGUAAAUUCCAUCGAAGGCUAAAUACUGGUGGGAGACCGAUAGCGUACAAGUACCGUGAGGGAAAGAUGCAAAGCCGCGCGAAAGCGCCGUUAAAGAGUACCUGAAGUUGCUGAAACGGAAGCGAAGGAAACCAGUGCCAGUCGCGUCAUACUUCCCUCCCUGCUUGCGGCGAGGGCGCUGUGGCCGACGUUGUCAGCCUGGGUGGAGCGAGGCGGAGGAGCGUGCGGGGAGCUGACCCGCAUUGC